GGACCUGUGGCGUAAUGGUAACGCGUCUGAUUCCAGAUCCAGAAGAUUAUCCGUUCGAUUCGGGUCAGGUUCA
rnacentral:tRNA from 1 species